rnacentral:rRNA from 1 species
UACAGAGGGUGCGAGCGUUGUCCGGAAUCACUGGGCGUAAAGGGCGCGUAGGUGGCGGCCCAAGUCCAUGGUGAAAGCUCGAUGCUCAACAUCGAGUCGGCCACGGAUACUGGGUUGCUCGAGCACUGUAGGGGCAGAUGGAAUUCCGGGUGUAGCGGUGGAAUGCGUAGAGAUCCGGAAGAACACCGGUGGCGAAGGCGGUCUGCUGGGCAGUUGCCGACACUGAGGCGCGACAGCGUGGGGAGCAAACAGG